rnacentral:lncRNA from 1 species
AUACCUAUCAAGUUCCUUGGUGAGUGGCAUGCGGGGUAGCUUCACCGGGGGUGGGUUGGGUAGUGGGUGGUUACGUUGGGUGGGUAGUUGGGUGGCUACGUUAGGUAGGUGAACAGGCAUGUGGGAAAGAGUCUGGGCCCCACUGUUCCCUUGUAGAAGUUUACGUACACAUGUAUUUAUACAAACAGACAGACAUGCAUACAUACACAUACCCUUGCACAUACACACGCACGCGCGCCCCGUACCGCCGGCCCCCGUCCUGCAUGUUUUCCCUCCGUCGCAAUGUAUUGGUUCGUCCUCCGCCUCCUCCGCCUCCUACUCCUCCUCAUUAUCAUUAUCAUCAUCAUCAUCACCAUCAUCAUCAUCAUCAUCAUCAUUAUCAUCAUCAUCAUCAUCAUCAUCAUCAUCAUUAUCAUCAUCACCAUCAUUAUUGCGUGAAGUAUCUCCGAGCCCCGGGGCCCCCACCCCACCCUUCCCGAACUCCCUGUGACCCCCCGCAUUCCCGCAUGCGGUCCAUUUGGAACCUUUCCCUAAUGCGCCCUAAUCGCCCCUUGUGCUUCCUCCUCCUCAUCACAUUUUAUCCUCACGCUUUCCCGCUUCUGUCUGUCUGUCUGUCUGUCUGCAUUCUUCGUAUACCCGUUGCCUCGUCGCCGCAUCCAAUGGACCGCUCGGCCUCCGUCUCCGUUAUCUCCGGCGCUGCCGCUUCUUCCUUGUCCCCCUCCUCCCCCUCCUCCUCCUUCAUCAAAACUCCUGAGGGUGGUCGUGGUUACGAUGCUGGUUGUGGUGGUGGUGAUUGCUGAAACAGUCAUCCAAGUAUGAUGACAGUAAGGGGGCAAGCCGGGAGCUCAACACGGCCUACCAGCUGCUAAGGGACUUUUACAAGUGAGUUGGUGGGAUGGGAUGAGAGGGAAGGAAGGGGAUUUUCAUUCUUAGGGUUUUAUCUCAUGAGAGUGACUCGUCUUGUGUGACCGCAUGCUGCUGCGGCUACGGCCACGGAAGCAUGCUGCUGCUCUGAUGGCUGUCGUGGUGCUGUCGCUGCGGCUGUAGCUGCGGACACCGUUAUUCCGCUUCUAUUCCUACCACCGUACAGCGGGCCCCGUGUUCACCUCAUGCGACACAGGAGGUCAGCUAUCCCUCCGUCUCGGUGCCUUCUUCGGGUGCAUGGGCUGGCUCUGUUCUGUCGACCCAGCUGCUGCUGCUGCUGUUGUUGCCCCUGUGUCGCUGCUGCUGCUGCGGCGGCGGUUUUUGCUGCCACCGAUCAUACACGCUCUCGCUGCUGUUGCUAGUUUUUGUGUUACCUCUUUGCUACUGUUUCCGCUGCCCCUCCCUCCGCAGGCCCUUCAAUCAGGAGCUUUCGAGGGCGUUUGGGAACGACCCGCGGUGGUUAUGGGGGUACUGAAUACACCCCACCGUACGCACGUCAUGACGGGUGGACAGACCAGCAUGCGAAGAGGAGGGACGAGGGAAGGGGAGAGGAAAGGGUGCGUGGAGCGAGGAGAGAGGGAUGGGCGAUGGGGAGUCCUCACUGUGUGGCGCGGUCGGUAAUAGUAGCCACAGUGCUGCUACCUCAUACACACAUACCUCCCACCACCGGCUUCUGUAUACGGGCGGAUGGAGGAGGGCCACAUGCGGCUGCUGCUGCUGCUGCUGCUGCUUUUUGCCGAGGUUUUGCGCUGCUACACAAGAUAUCGUGUCAUAUCAUAUUUAUCAUAUCUAGUGUCGUAAUCACCCCUGCGUUGCUGAGCCCGCACGACUGAUGUGUGCAAGUUUUCCAGUUCCUACAUGUCCCGUCUUCCUUGCAAGCGUCCUUCUGAUCCUUAUCGUUAUCAUGAUCAUCAUCAUCAUGCGUCAUCGUGAUCGUCUUUUGGGGGCAAGGGCUGGCAAGGGGCCGGGUGUUUUACACCACCACAAACCAGAUGGCCCUCGUUUAGAAUCCUGGAGAGCGCACUAUCACGGGAUCUGACAUCUGCAGCUGCCGAUCGGUACUUUUCUGAAGUCGUGAUAUAGCACCCCGUAGUGGUGGGUCUAGCCACUUGCAGCCCAGUGCCGUACAGCGUCCCCUGCGGAAUACUGCGGGGCAACUCCUUGCUACACCCGGGCCGAGGGCCCUUUUCGGCUUCGAAGUAGCUGACUACACUCCACUCACCAACUAUUUCUGGUCAACCGCAAUCAGUGAAUAGCCCCGCGGUGCACGCGCACAUCCAGGCAUCCGCAGCAAAUGAAAGGGUUGGGCGGCCGGGCAAAUCCCAACGAUGAAAUAGAAUAAGGUGAUUCAACGCAGCAUGCCGUACUCGGCGAUUUAGCUUACCACCACAUUAUACCUUCAAACCUUCACAGACGUACGAGGAGUGGUGAAACCAUCAUGUACAUAGCACUACCUCCAUCACAAGCAAAAACUGAUGCAUGAGAAACAGCAAAUGCCAUACAGCAGUCCAUGCGCAAACGCAGCCCUGAUCCUCACCCCACCGCUGCAACUCCUAAAAGGAAGCACUACGGCUGCUUCAUCAACUCGCCUGAACCCUUGUUAGGGAUGCAUACACGG